UACAGAGGUCUCGAGCGUUGUUCGGAUUCAUUGGGCGUAAAGGGCGCGUAGGCGGCGGGGUAAGUCGGGUGUGAAAUCUCAGAGCUCAACUCUGAAAUGGCACUUGAUACUGCUCUGCUAGAGGACUGGAGAGGAGAUUGGAAUUCACGGUGUAGCAGUGAAAUGCGUAGAUAUCGUGAGGAAGACCGGUGGCGAAGGCGGAUCUCUGGACAGUUCCUGACGCUGAGGCACGAAGGUCAGGGGAGCAAACGGG
rnacentral:rRNA from 1 species